rnacentral:rRNA from 1 species
UGAGGAAUAUUGGACAAUGGACGAAAGUCUGAUCCAGCGAUGCCGCGUGAAGGAUGAAGGCCCUAGGGUUGUAAACUUCUGUCAGCAGGGAAGAUAAUGACGGUACCUGCAGAGGAAGCCCCGGCUAACUCCGUGCCAGCAGCCGCGGUAAUACGGAGGGGGCAAACGUUAUUCGGAUUUACUGGGCGUAAAGGGUUCGUAGGCGGUUUUUUAAGUUAGAUGUGAAAGCUUGAAGCUUAACUUCAAAAUAGCAUCUAAAACUGAAUUACUAGAUUCUUGGAGAGGUAGAUGGAAUUACCGGUGUAGCGGUGAAAUGCGUAGAUAUCGGUAGGAACACCAGUGGCGAAAGCGAUCUACUGGACAAGUAAUGACGCUGAGGGACGAAAGCGUGGGUAGCAAACAGG